AUGGUAUCUUGUUGAAUGCAUCUAUAUAAUGUUCACUACAAAACUUUAAUUUGAAAAGGAUGUUUACCAGGAUUUUGUUUUUUAAAUGAGACAGAUCAACAUACCAUAUCAAACAUUUACAAGUGACUAUUCUGAGAGAAUAGAUGUACAUAUAAAGAGAACACAUGGUACAGGUAGCUAAAAUGUGAAAUUGAACCAGUUUUACAUUCACACAACCAUUAAUCAACCUAGCUAGACUAUACAUUAUGUGGUUAAGUUAACCCCAUAAUAAAAAAAGGACAAUCUAGCUAUAAAUGGAUGAUGAAUCAUAUUUAUAAUUUGACAAUGUAAAAUCUUUCCGUAAUAAACAAAAAUAGGGUCAAAUUUCAGGUCUUUAUUUUGUCAGUGCAUGUCCAAGAACAGAUAAAUUCAAAACCUAAUUCAUCUAAGCCCAUUCAGUUAGUAAAGCAUAUUUUCUAUGAGAUUUAGUUGAAGAGAAAUGUAUGAGGACAAAAAUCAUGUCAAUGAGAGUUGACUUCAUUAUCAACAGAAUUCUGUUUGGUUUUAGACUUCUUCAGUUUUUUUAAAUAUACUAAAAAAAAUGACCCACUGUGAUAGAAUUACAACAUUAGGAUUUCAAAAAGUAGUAAAGGAUUGUCAGACAAACAAAUUCUUAUCACUUGCUAGAAGCAGACAUAUAGCAUGAUUUCUAAGGCAUUAUGUGUACUAACGCUAACCAGUACAUAGUUAAGACAUUGUGAUUUGACUUAAUGCAAGAAAAUUUGAAAACAGGAGAUUUGGUAUGAUUGCCAUAGCGUCAACUAUGUAUUUAGAUCAAAGGAAAAAAAUAUCUCAUUUUAUUUUUACAACAACUUCAAUAUACACAAUAAUAUUGUGUGCUCUAGUGCAGC
rnacentral:lncRNA from 1 species